rnacentral:rRNA from 1 species
AAACGAUUGAAGUCAGUCGUGUUCAUUGGACUCAGCCGGUUUUCGGUGUAUUUCCUUUGAACGGGUCAACAUCAGUUUUGUCCGGUGGAUAAAGGCAGGAAGAAAGUGGCUCCCUCGGGAGUGUUAUAGCUUUCUGUCACAUACACUGGAGGAGACUGAGGACUGCAGCUCGCCUUUUGGCCGGGGUUCGCCCACGUUCGAGCUUAGGAUGUUGACAUAAUGGCUUUAAACGA